CAAGCUACUCUGAACUUUAAAAAAAAAAAAAAACAAAGUGAUAUACUUUAGAGAUCUUGCAGUGAGUGGUUGUGUCUUAUUUAAUUUCCCCAGUGUCUUUCAUGGUAUUGUUCCGUGAUGUGCCUGGGUUUAUUUAACUAGUUCCCUGCUGAUGGCUAUGUAAAUGUAGUAUUUCCAUUCAGCGUGCGUUUGCAUGUAUGUGAAUGGAUUCAUGGGAAGCUGAAGGAGAAAGUUGACUUGAAGUCAACUUUGUCUCAUUACUAACCUUCCGGGUCUCCCUUAGUCACUGGGCCAAAGCUCAUACUUUGUGAGUGGCCAUUUCUUCAAGAUGAAGAAAAGGGUCUGGAAAGGUUAGAGUCUCUGGAUAGACUUAACUCUAGGGUACCUAAAGAACUCCAGUUCCUACUGACAGUUCCUCUCGGGGACUGUCAGCCUGACAUGUAGAGAACUUGUUUAGGUACCUGUGGGUGCCUGUCAAGAUCUGAGCUUGAUAGUUAACAUAGCUGCUGUAUGUUAAGUCGUCUCUGUUUUCCUCGUCAAUUUCCUUAAAUAGACCAAUGUGCGAAUGAUUGGAAACUAAAUGAAUCUCCAAACAGCUGUUAGUCCAUGUUCUGUAACUAUAACAAAAUAUUUGAGGCUAGGCAGCUUAUACUGAAAGGAGGUUCAUUGAGCCCUUAGUGUAGAGGCCCAGAGACUAAAUGGCCUCUCUCUGGUGCGUCUUCCCCCCCUUGCUGUGUGACAUCAUGGCAGUAAUAUGUGUGAGAAGGAAGGAGAGAGAACAUGGUUAUACCGGAAGUCAAGAAAGACCUGGAACCCCCCCAAAACUACACAGAUCCAGUCUAAUCAGACAGUCCCAAUGACCUCUUAGCACCCAGCUCUUAAAGGGUCCAUCGAUUUUUCACGUUAUCACACGGAGCACCCAAUUCCCAGCAAUAAACAAUAAACCAUAUCUAAAGACAGCAAACCCUAUCUAAACCACCCCAACAGCCGGAGUAGAAAAGCCACAGCAGUUAAAAGCUGAGUGGAAUGGGGCUCUUUCUCCCCAGGCAACACUAGAGUUGAACAGGCUCUCACAGGUCUGUCCUCUAUCUCUGCUGUGAAAUUCUCACCACACCACUGCCGUCAAAAUGCAGAAUGACGAUUUUAUUUAUGACAGGAGACAUGUUUUAAAACAGUUGUUUUAAAACAACUGACAGAGUUGCAAGAUGGGAAACGACAUGAAAGUGAGAUUUUUUUUUUUUUUUUUUUUUUUGGAUAGGGGAGGGGGAUGGGAUGCUGGCAAAGAAGAGCAGGGUUUUCAUUAUUGAAGUUGGAAUCCAUCCUUUCUUCCUUGAGCAGAUAAAGAAAAUCAUCCGGGAAGGAAGCUGGAGGGUGAGGGCCCUGCAUAAUGUCAGUUCUCAGAGACCUGGGCAAUUAGCUGCUGGCUUGCUCGAACCCCCUCUUGUUGGGACAUUUCAAAGGACAGAGUACAUACAGUAUGAGACAGUGGU
rnacentral:lncRNA from 1 species